GAAAACCAACAACUUUUCUUUUGUGUGUGGGGUUACUUUCCACUGGCCCCCCCUUCCUCCUCUCCUUUCAAGAUUUAAAUGCUAAUGGCGGAUUAAAACCUGUAGAUACGUUUGGCUUUAGGAGUCUGGCGCAUUGGAGUGACUGUCUGGUAUCACCAAGAUGACACUCCACACCACCCGGGGGUCUGCACUCCUCUCUUGGGUGAACAGUCUGCACGUGGCUGACCCUGUGGAGGCUGUGCUGCAGCUCCAGGACUGCAGCAUCUUCAUCAAGAUCAUUGACAGAAUCCAUGGCACUGAAGAGGGACAGCAAAUCUUGAAGCAGCCGGUGUCAGAGAGACUGGACUUUGUGUGCAGUUUUCUGCAGAAAAAUCGAAAACAUCCCUCUUCUCCAGAAUGCCUGGUGUCUGCACAGAAGGUGCUAGAGGGAUCAGAGCUGGAACUGGCGAAGAUGACCAUGCUGCUCUUAUACCACUCUACCAUGAGCUCCAAAAGUCCCAGGGACUGGGAACAGUUUGAAUAUAAAAUUCAGGCUGAGUUGGCUGUCAUUCUUAAAUUUGUGCUGGACCAUGAGGACGGGCUAAACCUUAAUGAGGACCUAGAGAACUUCCUACAGAAAGCUCCUGUGCCUUCUACCUGUUCUAGCACAUUCCCUGAAGAGCUCUCCCCACCUAGCCACCAGGCCAAGAGGGAGAUUCGCUUCCUAGAGCUACAGAAGGUUGCCUCCUCUUCCAGUGGGAACAACUUUCUCUCAGGUUCUCCAGCUUCUCCCAUGGGUGAUAUCCUGCAGACCCCACAGUUCCAGAUGAGACGGCUGAAGAAGCAGCUUGCUGAUGAGAGAAGUAAUAGGGAUGAGCUGGAGCUGGAGCUGGCUGAGAACCGCAAGCUCCUCACCGAGAAGGAUGCACAGAUAGCCAUGAUGCAGCAGCGCAUUGACCGCCUAGCCCUGCUGAAUGAGAAGCAGGCGGCCAGCCCACUGGAGCCCAAGGAGCUUGAGGAGCUGCGUGACAAGAAUGAGAGCCUUACCAUGCGGCUGCAUGAAACCCUGAAGCAGUGCCAGGACCUGAAGACAGAGAAGAGCCAGAUGGAUCGCAAGAUCAACCAGCUUUCGGAGGAGAAUGGAGACCUUUCCUUUAAGCUGCGGGAGUUUGCCAGUCAUCUGCAGCAGCUACAGGAUGCCCUCAAUGAGCUGACGGAGGAGCACAGCAAGGCCACUCAGGAGUGGCUAGAGAAGCAGGCCCAGCUGGAGAAGGAGCUCAGCGCAGCCCUGCAGGACAAGGUAACCCUCUGCUGGGGUCACAGCCACAGUCUUGACCACAUGUGCAAAGCUGAGUCCAGUUUACCACUGUGCUCUUCUGGGCCUUUGGGUAUUAAGUUGCUUUCUCUUCAAGGUUCAAUAGUGUGCUGUAAUUGAAAGAUUGUGGGCUUCAGUCUAGUACACCUUUUUUUUUUUUAACUUAUUUUUUUUUUCCCCAGUCAAUGCCCUCACUUUAUAGUACACCUUUCAAUCCUGUCUCUGCUGUUUACAAGAUGUGGAUCUUGGACAAGUUAAUCAGUCUGUUUUUCUAAGCAUCCUUUCCCUAAAAUGGGAGUAGUAACGAGUAGCUGCCUCAUCACCUAUUAUGAGAAAAUGUACGUAAAGCACUUCACACAUCGUGUAGUGUAAAGUAAGCUCUCAGUGAACCAGU
rnacentral:sRNA from 1 species